rnacentral:lncRNA from 1 species
UUUGGUUAAAAUAAUGUGGAAAGGACAAAAAAAUAAAUGUAAGAGGUAAAAAGUUGUAUAUUAAAUGAUUUGGUUCGGAUUUUCCUGACAGGACUACAGAUAAUUCUGAUAGAAUUACUGCAAUUGAUUCAUCCGAUAUAUAAUUCAUUAGAUAUUGCAGUGUUACAAAAAGUGUAAGAUCACACUGAAAAUAUUACUGAAGGGAGCUGGUUGAAAUUAUUUUUUUGCAAUGUAAUUUUUUUUUUAUGUUUGAACUUUUUAUUUUAUUACUUAUCAAUAUAAUUAAUUUACAAGUGCAAAUUAUAGUUACUAAUAUUUUAGUAAAAAAUAUUAUCCAAAUGAUAACAAGGAUAAUUUUGAAAAAGACUAUACUUUUUUGUCAAAAUUACUAAAUUUUAUAGACUAAACCAAACAUAAUAAUACUAUAAACAUUGCAAUCUAGCAUUAUAUUAUUGUAUUAUAUAUAUCAAACGCGCUAAUACAGUAUCACUAGUAAUCUCAUUUUGAAAUUCAAGAUAUCUUGAUAUGUCGAAAUAUCUUGUAAUAUUACAUAACUCGAACCAAAUGUGCCCUAAGGGCUUUUUUGCUUCAUCUAUUUUAGAUUAUGAAAUCAUAAUAAAAUUUACUCAUUUUUUAUAGAAAUUCGAUACUAUUUUACUAUGGAAUGAAAAUAGCCUUAUUUAUUUAUGGUCUAACCCGACCGGCAUUGACUCAUUUCAGAAUAAACUAAAAUUUUCUCCGACUAACAUCUCCUCCUUCUCUGUUUUGGUCACUCUCUCCUAAUUAACCAAAAUUCCUCCCUCUCUAUUUUUUAUUCCAAUACAAUAUAAUUUUAUUUCAAAUUUCUAUUUCAAUCGUGAACCAAACAUGUUCUAAAUAGAGAAUACGAAUAAAACAAAAAUAAUUAAAAAUUUUAACAUACUGUUAACUAUUAGUAUAUUGACAUUUCAAUACAAUACAUAGAACUGUUUAACAAAAUUAACUAUGAUCAUUUAUCAUAUCUAUCAACAUAUUAAUAAUUCAGACUUAAUUUCCUAAAGUUUCUCUAGCAUAAAAAAUAAUUUUGGUCUCAAAUUAAUUAGAAGUGCCCAUUUGAAAUCUAAUAGUUUAGGUCAACACCGUAUGGUUGAACAGUAGCCUCCAACCUCGUUUGUACCUGAUCACCUCAAUCGACACUGCAAUAAAUAAAUUUUGUAUAUUUCCAAAAGCCUAUGAUCAUUUUUAUCUCAAAAAAAAGGAAAAAAAGAAAAGAAAAAUCUUUGUAACGCCGUAAAGGGGUAAGGGACUAAAAUGUGAGAAAGUGAGGUCGUUAAGUGUGAAAGUGACGGCUUACUAUUGAAUUUGUGUAACGAAUUGUAGCAUAAACCCUAUAAUAAAUAAUAAUAAUAGUUAUUAUUUAAUUUGUAAACAAAAUUAGCACUUAAUAUAUAUACCUUUAAUCACAACGCAUACUAAAUAAACUAAAUUUUAAUUUUAAAAUUUUUAUUAUAAAGUCGAAAGAACACGGCUUAUGAAAGACAACUAUUCAUCAAUAAUUUUUGAGCGUCUAGCAUCCGUUUGGUUCGGAGUUAAGGGGUGGAAUAACCUCUUAACCCCGAAGUUAUUCCCAAACAUCCACCCCACCCCACUAUUCAAACCAAACAAAACACUAUUUUACCCAUUAUCCUUCUUAUCCCAUCUACUCCAACCAAACGCUAUUUUAUUCAUAACUGGACUAAAUCUAAUUCUCAACCAAACAUAAAAUUAUACUAAUCCCAGUUUAAAUCUGAACUUAAUUCUAUUUCUGAAAUAAUAAAUUUUUACUUGAUCCCGAACCAAACGGUGGCCUAAAGUCUAAUAUUUAGUGCGUGGUCUAUUCCGCAAUUCGAGCAGUGAUGUUCGUCCUCACAUUUUGUGGCCGAGAUAUUUCUAAAGAUUUUACAAAUAUUUUAUAAUAUUAUUUUAUGUAUUAUUAAUAUAUUAGUAAAUUUAUGUAGCAUAUGUUGACCAUAAGUCUCCAUAUUACAAGAAAGGACACACAUCGGUAUUACGGUGGAGAUAGGGAAUCCAUAAUUGUGGGCGCUCAAAACAUUUCUCUUCUAAUUUUCUAAGUCGCGUGUGUGAACUUAACACAAAGACUAACAAAUAAUUAUAAGGAAUAUACUAUGUUGAAAAAAAAAAAAAAAAAAAACAAAGUGAAUAGUAUGCUAUUUUUCUCUCAAUAAAUAAUUGAGGAGGUAAUACUAUUUCUAUGGUGGAUUGACCCAGUCACACUUUGAUGUAAUAGCUUGGUGCGAAAAGUAAAAGCAUCCAUUAUUUUCCACCCAAAAUAGGCGGUGGAAAUUGUCCUUGCAUUCUAAACUUAGUACCACGUUUAGAUGAACAAACGCCUGAUUCGAUAUACCUCUUCAAAUUAUUUAAAAAAUAUAUAAUAUUUGAUAGAUAAAGAGUACGAUUAAAUACCUAAAAUAAAAUUCAUUUUCUGAAGAAAACAAAUAAUCCUUUAUAUAAAAUAUGCCCACCCAAUAAAUUAUAGAUGCCAAGAUCUUCUAAUGCGCAAUAAUCAAACUCCUAAUUUCAUAAUAAGGUAAAUCACAUUGCUGUUGGAAUUAUAUUAUUUAAUUAAAAAAUUGUGACUCUUCCGACUUUGUAAUGGAUGAAAAGCAAAUUUUUAGUUAAUUCCAACCACCAAAAAAAAAAAAAAAAAAUCCAUUGCGCAUGUAUUAUCAUUUAAUCUAAUCUUAAUUGAAAUAUGCUCUCUAACCCAUUUUUUUAUUUUGCUUGUUCUGAUUCUCCACGUUCUGCGGAUACAAUAGAUGGAUUAAGAUAAGGAGGGUGAGGGGAGCUUGUCACAAAGGCGAUAAGAUGCAUAUUAAUAUUGUCAUGACAUGUCAUCUUCCCGUAAACAGUUGAUGUAUCCAUUAUAAAAUAAAAAUUCAGAAAUUAGAUGUGACUGUACAGUCCCAUACAGCAAAAUCCUACUCCAUGCAAUUACCCAUAUAAGCAGAACAGUUCAUGAAGAAGUAAAGAAUUAGAAAUAACAAAACUAGCAAUAAACAUCAUCUGCUAUUGAAGAUUGGACAUCGAUGUCGACGGAAUAUCAUAAGGUUUAGCACAGGUCCAAAGAAGUCGAUCAAAUACCAGAAGCUAAAAUCCUACUAAUCAAGAAGAGAUUUACCAGAUAUAUACAUAAGGCAUAUGUAAACCAUUUUGAAGCGAUAAAAGUUAUGUAAAGAGACUCAAAAUGACCUUUUGAAUCAAACUGCAACAAGCAAGCUACAUAGGAUUGAAUUACUUGUACCCACCAUAAGGGUGUUUUAUUCAUGAGAUUAUAAAUCCAAGAACCCAGAAGAUAUUAUACUAUACGAAAAUCAAUGCACUGAACAUACAUACAACAAAAUUUUGACGAGUUCAAGCUCCAAGAAAGAAUUUAACCUCAAUAGCUAACCUCCACAGCAAAUACCCUGAAGAUGGCAUGUAACAGAACAAAAAUCACAAUCUCGCAGAUUGUUUCGAAGACAAUAUCUCUAUUAAGUACAACUGCCAAUUUUUGUUUCAACCUGCCGCUAUCUUGCAACACUGAAACUGGAAGCAUUUUCACUUGAGACCUCUUCAAGCAUAUCUAGAAAACCUUUCCUUGUCGUCCUCUCAAAGACAGUUUUAUCGAAGUGUAGUUCAUUUGUCGAAACUGCAUCAAAUUUCGUCCAGAGUUCUUUUUUCAGUGUUUCUUCUCCAGGCUUCUUACCAUUAGUCCUUAUAGUGCUUUCGAAGUUAUUCCAUCCAGAGGUACCAAGCAAAGAAGCCCUACUAUUAGUAGGAGGUGUUUGGAGCGGCUUUUCAUUCGGUGGCUCCAUUAGUACACAAGUCUUCGGGGGCGACAAGAACCAUUCAAGAGUUCCAUCGACUUCCCUCCUACGAGCACCCACAGUAUUAAGAGCUGGCUGGAACUGAAAGAGCUCCUUGUACUUCGAUGCCAAGCUCUGUGAAACUUCUUCCAUUAACAGCUCAUCAAAGUGUCCAGAAAUCUUAUUGUCUUGAGUUGCUUCAAACACGUUGAUUUCUUUGUUACUUGAGGGCUUAGAGAUCGGCUUGAGUGCUGAUGUCCUCAAGCAAGGAGUUAGCAAAAGUACAGAGGUUCUCCUGCUCUUCUGGUUCGAAAAUCGCACAGGUGAGAAAUGUGAAGUCACCAAAGGCUUUAAAACAUCACUUGUUACGUCCUUCGCUUUCACGCACUGUAGUAAAUCGACAUGAUUUGUAGGGUUGAUUAAGGACUCGGGCAAUUGAUGAGGGUUGUUUUCAUCCUUAGAGGCAAGAAUUUCCACCACUCGUUUCGAUGAUGUCAUGUAUUUACACGAACGAAUUUUGGGGGUGGGCAACGGUGUUAGAAGAAAUAACUGCCUCUCAUUCCCAACCCGACAAGCACCAGCACGCCAGGAAACGAGGGGCGAAGGAGAGACUAUCACAUCCAGAUCAGGUAAUGUCUCAUUUUUCGCCACCACAUUUCCGUCUCCUGCUGCGGCAGCAGAAGAAACAGGACAAGAAUCUAAAUUGCUUUCCGACUGAUUCUCAGAAAUGGGCGAAGUACUUGCAAAUGCUUGUUGGAGCCUUAGCGACCAGGACUGCUUAGAAUAAAGAAAACACAUAACAAUAAAAUGGAGCAUUAGAUGUAAGACUCCUACCAAAUCUGAUACCGACAAAAGUUAAUUUGAUCCCAGGUUAAUAACAUAAUAACAGUAUUGAGUGGUGACUAAUUGACGGCAGUGUAUACCUUCAAAGAUGAAUGCAUAUCAGACAAGGCAUGUCUGAAGGAUUCUAUCUCUUGGGUUCCUUUCUUGGCGGCCGUUUUACAAUGAAGGGUUUCCGCGGCAAGCUUAUCGACCUGUAAAAGCAUAGUAUAGUAAGAAACCAUAUGAUUAUGAGAAACAAUGAGGUUCUUGUUGAUCAUUAAACACCAAACGUUUAAAGACAGUAUAUACCUUACACAACCGUGUUUCCUUAAAAACGUAAUAAUUUCUCUCAAACAAAAACCAAUUCCGCAGAGUAAUAAAAAAAUAAAAGUAUAACUAUGCAAUUUUGAUCAGAAAUAAAGAGCCAACUUAGAUCAACGUUCCGGUCAAGCAAUGGUAUUAUGAUGAUUUAUGCACUACGUACUCACUUUUAUUGCAUCUAAUUGAUGUAAUUAUCCAUAUUCAACGAGUAAGGAUGGAGUUGAAACAAUAAGUUAAAACAAAAUCCCAAAACGCCCAAAACACCGCCCAAGAAGUAGUUUUUAGGUCAAAAUAUAUCAAAAGAUUCACCAAAAAUCAGGAAAGCGCGAUUAGCUAAACAGGAAAGGAAACGAGUUCUUAUCGAACCAAACAAACAUCUAGGGCAUCGCAUUCGCGUAAAUUUCUAGCUAUCGGAAACGUGCGAGAAAUUAGGGUUUUCACCGAACACAAACCUGGUUGAUGAGAUCGGAAAGAUCGGAGCGCACGAGGAGGAGGAGAUCGAGAGCGCCGUCGCUCCCAUCACCCGCUGGGGCCUUCUCCUUCUUGCGGGAUCUCAGCGGCUUCCGACCGUUGGAUAUAUCCGAAAGGGGCUUCUUCUUCGCCGUCGAUUUGCCCCCUCUGGUGCUUCUCAGCAUUUUCUCGAUCUCUUCUAUCGGCUUUUUUCUUUUUUCUAGGGUUUCGAUCGGAAGAGGAAGGGGUCGAAGGAGGAGAAAUUGGAGGAGGAGGAUGAGAGUGAAAAAGAGAGAAAGGGGGAGGACGAGAGGAACGAGGAGUCCAACGGUCGACAAACCGAGCGGGGUUAGGGUUUUACUUCGGUUUGAAAUUUUACCACCGUUUUGUCUAUGUAUAAGCAAUAACUAGAUAUUUGCCUAUUACAGGAAUAGGUAUAAAUAUAAAAAUAAAAAAAUAAUAUUUAGAUGAAAAUUAGGUUGUUUUUGGAAAUAAAAAAAAUAACGUUUGGAUAGAUAAUAUAGAAUAAAAAAAAUAAUGGAUAGUUAUAUAUAAAAAAUAGAGGUAUUGGUGGAGAUAGUUAUAUCCGGUUAUUAUAAAUAAUCGAAAAAUACUAUUUUUCAGUAAAAAAUUAGCGUUUGGAUAUAAAAAAGGGAUAAAGAGUUAUUCCACUCCUUAUCCCCAAUCCAAACGCUACGGUCCAAGUGAUGAGGUACGUUUAAUAGAAGGAAACUACGUAUAUAUCCCACUAAAGAAGCCCAAUUGAGUUAAUAGUGUUAAUGCUGAGUUUUGGCUUUAAAACAAAUUAUGAAAAAUGAAAAAUUAAAAACAAAAUUCUAAAUUCUAAGAAAAUAUUCCGUUAACAAUUGUUAGGAGAAGUAAUUAGGUUCCAUUAGUUUCUCUCAAUGAAUUCCCAGAUAAAUGAUUAGAUGAUGGAUUGUUAGAAAAUGAGAAGUUUAAGGUACUUAAAUGCGAUAUAAAGAUAAUUAAAGGAUACUAUACAAACUUACCUAGGAAAUGUAAGAUGUUUGAUAAUAAAAUUUGUCUCGAAUCCCUUCCCGAUCUCAUACCAUUGUGAAAACAAAUACUCUUAACAUUACAGAUAAAUAAAAUUUUCUAAUUCUUUCAAAUAUUUAGUAAUUUUUAGUAUUUAGAUAUAAAUUUAAUGACUUAUGACUUGACAUUUCACAUCGACAAUCAUUUAUGCCUGCAAUAGUACGUUUGGUACACAACAUUUUUUGAAUGUCACAGGGAUGGUACCCUAGAAAUCAAUGGAACAUUGUGAUGUCACAAUGCCCACACACUUUGUGCUUUGGAAUUACUGAGCACAAAUCACUCAGUUUCUCUUCCUCACUGCAUUCUUUAGCAUGCUAGAUGGGAGAGAUGAAGAUGGAGUGAUGGCCUUCCUGAUCUUGAAUAAAUUCCAAGCUGUUCCGACGGCGUGUCCUGCCGCCGCAAAUGCGUCUUCUGUUGCCUCUCCCGCAUUCUCUCCGAACCUAGCAAUAUGAUCAUUUAUUAAAUUCCAAUAUCAAUAGAGAGAAAUCAAAAUAAUAGCAUUUGCACAUUAGCUAUUCAUGUUCUUGUAUUGUUGUUUUAUAUUUUUUAUUUUAGUAGUGCUUUGUACUUUGGCCUUGAUUAAUUAGCUGAGAUUUAAGGUAAUUCCUACUUAAUAGUAAUAUUCCGUAAGGUAAAUUAUUUGGCUCACCUCUUAGACACUGCACCAGAGACGACUCCAGAAGUGGCUGCAAUACUUUUUCUUUCAGCAACCUCUACAGCAUCCAUAACCUUAUCUGCAGUUCAAACUUCACUAUUACACAAAGAAAUAAAAUCAACCUCGAAACAGAGCAACCUACGUAACCUAAAAAUCAAUCUAAUGAAAAAAAAGGGGUCCAAAAAUAUUCUUGAUGCACAUGCUCACAUGUGUGGUAGAGAUCCUACACGAAGCGACGGGAAGAGACAAUGGAAUUGGUAAACUACGAGGAUAUAUAACACAUUGAGUAGUCUAGUAGGAAAUCGAGCACACAAGAUCACAAAACUAGGUUUUUAUACCAUAUUGUCUAAAAGAUUGAUUUAACAAUAAACAGUUCAGAAGUAGUUCUAACAUCUGAGAUCUUGAUUUCAUUACAAUGUAACAAUCUUUUUACUUACUAAUGGCAUCAAGAGAGGCCAAGAGAACCUCUCCAGGGACCGUAGCGAGAAAGGCCUUUCCAGUUUUUGAUUGAAGCAGUGGUGCUCCUAUAGUCCCCGUGAGUGUUACAACUGCAUCAAGCAAAGAUUGGCUCAUUCUCUCUGUCAUUUCUGAUAGCUUCCUCACCCUGAAUUAAAAAGAACAAUUUUACACAAAAUUAAUACUAAUUAUGGUCAUGUUUGAUAUCAAAUAUGUCAUUAUAAUGCUUGCGCUAAGUUAGACACAUUUUCGCUGAAAAAUCCUAUGGAAUUUCAUCAAAGUUAUUCUAUGAUUGAGUACCUUUUGAUGCUCUUGUUGAUUGCUCCGCGCUUAUUCGCGUCGCGAUUUCUAUCAGCUCUAUCCUUCUCGUUAGGAACACUUGUGCUGGCGCCUGCAGCUUGAGGCCGAAACAAAUCUGCUCCCUUUUGAACCUGCAAUACUACUGCGAGUUCUACCGUUCAUUUCACCAGACAAAAAGUUCAAAUUUGUUUGUUCACGUGGUAAAUUUAUUUUACAAAAAUGGGCUAAAGUUUUGAACUUUUUCACCAAAUAUAUAUUGUUUCUAUUUUACAACAUAUAUAUCUAUAGAGUAAGUCUCCCGUGCUUUCGAAAGUACGGAGGCUUCCGUGCUUGUAAGUUGUUUUUGAUGAUAGGACAUCCGAUUCGACGAUCGGCUCCGUUAGGCAUAAUCUACGCUAUUAGAACUAUCUAGAAACCAAAUUUCAUAAUUUUUCAACAUUAUCUACCAGGCGAUCAAAGGGUCUCAAAAAUGACUAUUUUAACGGCCGAUGUGGCACGUUUUUAAGUUCAACGGUGUAGAAGUAUCCAAAUUAUAUGAAACUUUAAUAGAAAAUUCUAUUUAACAUCAAGAGCACGAAUAAUACUUCCGAUUUGAAAUUUUAGUUUUUUAUCACUGUUUUUUAUAAAAAUUUUUAUUUUCAGCCGUUCAUUUUGAGACUACUCAUUUACUAGGCAAACGAAGUCAAAAAAUUAUGAAAUUUGGUUAUAGAUAGUUCUAAUAGCAUAGAUCAUGUCUAACGGAACCGAUCACCGAAUUGGAUGUCCCAUCGUCGAAAACAACUUACAAGCACGAAGGCUUCCGUACUUUCGAAAGCAUAAGAGCCUAGCUCUAUAUAUAUAUAUAUAUAUAUAUAUAUAGAGUUGGACUGGGCUACUAUUAGUAGCAAAAUUUCAUUAUUGCUACCAGUUUUUUAGCCUUUGGAUCAACUCUUUUCAUUAUUUCUAACAAUUGGAUUAAAUACUAUAACCCAGUGGGGACCACUCAACCCUAGGGGGACCACUCAACUCUAACCGACGAAUAUCAUCCUGACCCUACAAUUUUUCAUCCAAGGGUUAAAAACUUGAUAGCAAAAAAGAGCGAUUUACUAUUAAUAGUAUUCCAGCCUAAUUAUAUAUAUAUAUAUAUAUAAAAUAUUUAAUGCUGGUCUUUGUAUCAAGUUGGUUUUGGGAUCGAGUCAAGCUCGAGUUAUUUUUGGACUAAUCUUGAUGUUAACAACAACCCAACAUAUUCAACUCAAACCCACGUUAAGUCACAGUCCUAUGUCUCACAAUGUUGGACUCCAAUGAGGCAACCGAUCAAACACCUUGCCUACAACAACAACGAGAACAAAGGGAGCCCAACAACGUUACCUGAGCAGUGUAAGCGUUGCUGCACAUGAAGAUCCCCUUCACGAUCUCCCCCGUCCCCCCCGCGAUCGCCUUCGCCAAAACCCCAUUGUAAUCCUCCACCCUCGGCGCGCACUCCUUCCAAUCCACCUCCUUGUUUUUCUCCGCCCUAUCCGAAGGCGCGGAGAAGCACGCGUUCUCCUUAAGAAACGCGUCCAAAGAGGCCAACCUCUCCCCGAUCCCCUCCUCCCCAGCCGCGAACGAGACCCCGUAGUUCAAAAACCCUCCUCCCCCCUCGCCUCCGCCAUGGUCAGGGAUGGUGAAGAGGUAGUUUCGGGGGCCGAGCUUGACGACGGGCUCGUCCUUCGCGAGCGGCCACCCGAGGCCGCGCCCCACGCGCACCACGGUGGCGAGCGCCGCGCCCCUGCUCUCCACGCGCACCACCGCGAGCUCGCCGGCGCCGAGCGCCACCGCGUCGCCGUCGCCGACGAGGUGCGCCGUCGCGCCCGGGACGCGGAGGAUCGUCUCCUCCCUGGUGCGCGGGGGCGCGGAUCUAGGGACGCAGCAACCCAUGGCGACGGUGUUGGAUUUUGGCGAGGUUUUAGGGUUUGCGCGCACUCGAUUUUAUUAGGUUUUUUCUCUUCGCGAAGAAGCUUUGCAGAUGAGAUAGCAUCAAUCGUCGGAAAGGGAUGAAUUAAGCGGCUCCGGAAUGAUUCGAUUGGCAUUUCUUUUUGCGGCGGCAGCGGCUUUAUUCCAAGCUUGAGAAACACUCUCUCCAUCUUCUCCCAGCUUUUCGACAGCACCUAAGAUGAUACAGAAUAUAUUCGCCUACUGGCAACUGAUUUGCUGCACGGCAGUGGAAGUGCGCACCAGCAAAACUAUCCCACUCUUAUUCCACACAAAUCGCCAUACAAAUUUCUAUGAAAAUAACUUUAUAACAAAUAAUUAAUUAAAAAGCGCAAUAGUUAAGACUUAAAACUUCUUGUAUCUUCGAAUACAUACAUCUGAGUUUGUUCUGAAUCAGAAUUUUUCUAACAGAUUGGAUGUUGGAACAAGCUACUGCUAAUAGAACAUGUUAAGGGAAUUCCCCUAAAUAAGUGUUUUUUUUUUUAAGAUAAAGGUAGCACGCUACUCGCUUCAUUUAUUUAAAAAAUAAAUUUUGCUAUAAAUAUUGAGGUAGUAGAGUUUCAAAUGGAUUAAACAGUUACAUAAAAAAAAUAUAUAUAUACAUAAAUAAAUAAAGAUAAAAAAAUAAAAAGGUAACUUAGAAUUGCAAAAUUUAGCCUAUUUCUUUAUCAUUUUACAAAUUUGUCGUAUAUAUAACCACUAAGAUGUCAAAAGAUUGGUUUUCCUACAUUAGUGUUGAUAUAUGUAUUCUUACCGAGCAUUAUGUUACCAUUUUCUUUUUAGAAGUAGAGAAUGUCACUUCCGAUUUAUCUGAUUGAUCCAUUAGCAUGUGGCCCACUCUCCAUUUCCUCCAUAUGCACCGAAUUUUACGGUGUUCGGAGUGGAUCAACCGAGUUUCCAUUUCGCUUGAUUGGUUUCACGAUAUUGGAUGUCGUUUUCCACGUCGCGUUGAACUUGUGAUCAGCGCGGACGACCACCAUGCAUUGUUUCCUUCAGCUUUAAAGUUUCAGUACUACGUUCAUAGUCAUGUCAAAUUAAAUUUAGAUAACAACCGCUGCGCUAGCUCAGUGCUUGCGGCACGCACGGCAUCUUACUUACUAAUUGUGGUUCAAGCACGUUCCACCGUAGUUUUAUUCGGUUUUAAUCUUAUCUUUUAAGAUUAUGUUAGUUUCUGAAGAAAAAGAAAAAGAAAAACAUUCCCCUUUAAAUCGUUCGAGUGUGUCAAAUCAUAUGAACAUAUCCAAUAUACAUACAUUGAACCUGAGAGCUUUUGAUGGUUUGAGUUAGUCUACGGCGCAUGUGGAUAAGCGAAUAACUUGUUCAACGUGAUGGUCACAAGCGUUACCUGAGGCCCCCACUUUUUUAUUAUUUAAAUGUGGGGCGUAGCCGUGACCAAACAUUCACAAACAUUGCACGCUUGCGCUUACGGGCUGAUGUGUUUGUCUCACUCAAAAGUGGAAAACGGUUAGGUAAUUUUUUAUUCUAAAUGUUAUUAUUUUUAUUAUUGGUUAUGUUUAUCAUAAUUUUAUAUUUAUUUGAAAUUCAAAUACAAAGUUAAUUAAUAAUAAUAUAUUAAUUUGCUUUUUUUAUAUUUCUGGUUUUUUGUAAUAUUAUUUUCUACCAAAUAAAUAGUAAAAUUGGAAGAGUUUUAAUUUCACAGCUGUACGAACAAACAACGAAAGAAAAUUAAUUUUUACCUCAGCUCUAAUUAAUGCGGUUUUAUAUUUUGAUAGUUUUUUUUUUUUCAUUGUGAUGUUAAAGAGGCAUUAUUCAUUUGAGAUAAUUUACUUAGAUAUAAAAUAAUAGCCAAAUUUAAUAAAUUUAUAUGUUAAUAUUUAAAUUUGCUUGUAAUUAACAAUCGACGGAGUCAAUUAGUGGCCAAAAUGAUACUAGUAUGCCAAAAUAAAAUGAAACAAGAGAAAAUUUAAUGAAACAAAAAACGACGUAACUCAAUCACGGAACCUUCUGCUCUAAAAUCAUACUAAAAAAAAAAAAAAACAACCAUUGCUACGCAAGGCCUAAAGAUUUCAUAAAGUAUUUUUAAUAUUUGUAUCAAUUCAACAAUAAAUUAAUAUAAAACAUGCAAAAACAGCACACCAACAUGCAAUAAAGAAAAAUGUGAGGGACUACAGUGCUAAAAUGGCUCCCCUGUCACUUUGUGCUGCUGCAAGACGCCAAAGUGGGACAUCUCUUUCGUGUGGUGUGCUUGGAUAAGCGUGCUGGUGUCAUCCACAGCACGCCUCGGGAAUUUCAUUUUCUUGUCCAAAAAAAAUAAAAGAAGAAAAUUCCACAUCGGAAUUUAGUGGGUGUACUGAGAAAUAACAUCAUACUGUGGAACAUUUGCUCAUCUUACUACCAAUCCUCUUAAAUCUAAGAAGAGAGAGAGAGAGAGAGAGACAGAGGAGAUCUCAUUGUGGAGAUCUGUGUUGAAGGUACCAGUGUUUUAAUUCUUCUUGGUGUUAAGGAUUUUUGAGACUUUGAUAAUGUUUCAAAGUAACUUUAAUAAGUGAAUAAAAGUGCUUUUCUUUUAUGAUGAUUUAGGAGUAUUAAAUGUGCACAUAUUCUUUUACUCUAUUACCUACUACUUUUUUUUUUCUUUUUCACUUUUUUACACAAAUUCGUCCUUGCUUUUGAAAGCUCUGUCAACUCUCCUUGUUUGAGUUUUCAUUUACACACAACAUUUUCUUUUGUUAUUUUCUUAACUUUGUCAAAUGCUUGUAACAUGAUGAGUGGAUCAGAGGUGUGAAAAUGGGUUUAUAUAUGCUGCUUACUUUAGUUUGGCUUUUGACAUGCAUUUUCUUCUCUCCUAAUUUAGUAUUUGAAAUACACCAACCACCAGUUUUUUUAACUUCCACUUCCACUUUAUUAAUA